rnacentral:rRNA from 1 species
CAGUAGCCGCGGGAAAACGUAGGGUGCAAGCGUUAAUCGGAAUUACUGGGCGUAAAGCGUGCGCAGGCGGUUUUGUAAGACAGAGGUGAAAUCCCCGGGCUCAACCUGGGAACUGCCUUUGUGACUGCAAGGCUAGAGUACGGCAGAGGGGGAUGGAAUUCCGCGUGUAGCAGUGAAAUGCGUAGAUAUGCGGAGGAACACCGAUGGCGAAGGCAAUCCCCUGGGCCUGUACUGACGCUCAUGCACGAAAGCGUGGGGAGCAAACAGGAUUAGAUACCCGGGUAGUCCCUGUCUCUUAUAC